GACUACCCGCUGAACUUAAGCAUAUCAAUAAGCGGAGGA
rnacentral:rRNA from 1 species